rnacentral:rRNA from 1 species
GAUGAACGCUAGCGGCAGGCCUAAUACAUGCAAGUCGAACGAUAUUAUCCAGCUUGCUGGAUAUGAAAGUGGCGCACGGGUGCGUAACGCGUAUGCAACCUACCUUAUUCAGGGGGAUAGCCCGAAGAGAUUCGGAUUAACACCGCAUAAAAUCACAGUUCAGCAUUGGACAAUGAUCAAAUAUUUAUGGGAAUAAGAUGGGCAUGCGUGUCAUUAGCUAGUUGGCGGGGUAACGGCCCACCAAGGCGACGAUGACUAGGGGAUCUGAGAGGAUGGCCCCCCACACUGGUACUGAGACACGGACCAGACUCCUACGGGAGGCAGCAGUAAGGAAUAUUGGUCAAUGGAGGGAACUCUGAACCAGCCAUGCCGCGUGCAGGAAGACGGCCCUCUGGGUUGUAAACUGCUUUUAUUCGGGAACAAACCUAUUUACGUGUAAAUAGCUGAAUGUACCGAAGGAAUAAGGAUCGGCUAACUCCGUGCCAGCAGCCGCAGUAA